rnacentral:tRNA from 1 species
GGCGCUGUAGUGUAGCGGUUAUCACUCGAGAUUCUGAAUACCAAUUUUCUCGAAACCCAGGUUCGAUUCCUGGCAGUGCCU